rnacentral:piRNA from 1 species
UCUAAUCUACUGAGAUGUUGUUAUGUGUAU